rnacentral:lncRNA from 1 species
AUCAAUCCUAAUAUAUUUAUCGUUGAAUCUGCAAAGAUCAUAACUGUAAGCUUAACAUUUUUUAACAAUUAUAACGCUAUAUCUAUAAUGUAAACAAGUCCUACUUAUCGUAGUUAUUCUGUACAAGUUAUUGUUCAUUCAAGAUAAAUUCUUUUUGACAAAACAUGUUUUUGAAUACAAAAAAAAUACUAAAUAUUCUUUAAAAGAUUAUUCAAAUACAUUAACUUAUUUUUUGUAACAUUUUUAUAUAUACUGUGUAUUUAAGGUUAUUGGAAAAUUGUUUCAAGUUUUUGAUUGUUAUGAUUUCGUUUUGUUUCAGUGCAAGACAAGCAAUGACCCUCUCAAUGAUCCGGUUAGCCGGAUUUAGAAUCAUUAAAAAUGGUAAAGCGAAAUUAUUUCAUUUGUUAUAAUCCAAAACAACCAUCCUUGUAUUUAACGGACGAACAUUUUGUCUGUAGAUAUUUAUUCAUGUCUACUGCAAUUUAGGCAACACACUUAACCUUAGUUUAAAUGAUUGGCUUUACACACAUAUGUCGGAUUAAGUAUAUUUAUAAUUUUGAUAAAAUUUAUGUUUGAUCAUUGCAAGAUUAGUGCAGUUAAUCAUAAACAAAAGUUACCUUUUUUCCUGCAUAUUAAAAAAAAAAAAAAUUAUGAAAAUAUUUUAAAGUUUCCUUUAUAUUGUCUCUUCUUUACUAUAUUUAAGCUUUCUUUCAACAAUUAUUGCAUUGAAUUCAUUUUUAGGAACGAUUGGGCGAAUAUCAGAGAGGAGUAUAAAUAAACAUCAGUUGCCAGGUACAGUUAUUUUCCCUCUUAAUAAUACUUCCGAGAUUUGUUGCUGAACUUAUUUGAAAGUUAAGGGUUAGCAAUUUUUAUGCUUCCACAGUAGGAUUUCGUCUCAAAAUUGGUUGAUCAAUUCUUCUUGUCAGAUAUUGAUGUACAUCGAAUCGGAAGAUUGCACAUCAUAUUGGUUACACACAAACAUUCAUUGGUAUCCAUCAUCACAUAAAAACAGGCAUAUUAGAAGUCAUGACACUUUGAAUUAUUUUUCUAAUUUGUUUUACCAAGAAGUUUAAACAUAGUGGAUAAGUUGAUUUAGUGUAACAAAGAUUCGGAGGUCAUUUAGUACGAUAACAUUUAGUACUAUAACAUGUUUCAAAUUUAUUUGCACCUACAUGAAUAUAUUAAAACAUUAAUGUAACUAUAAGGGAUGGUAUACAACAACAAAUGAUGUUUAAUAGUGUACUUAGUAUAUAUCGACACAUACACCAGGCAAAUAUUGAUACCUACACAGAGAAAUAUAUCACAGCAAAAGAGGGUUGAAAUAUACUCAUAAGUCGAAUAUAGGCUAAAAAAGACAAAGUCAAGGAGAUAAACAAAACCACAUAAAACACAACAUAGACAACUAAUGACAAAUCAACACGAACCCCAACAAAAUUUGAAGGGAUCUCAGGUGUUCCAAAAAGGUAGGCUCGUUGUGUUUAUUUUUAGAAUAAAUCUUUUAAUAUUUGGGAAAAUAUUUAAGUUGUUCCAAUCUAUUCCAAAUGACUUAAUAAAUAUUACACCAAAAAUUAGAUAAUAAAAUGUACAAGUGAACGUUUGCGUCAUAAAUAUUCAAUGUCAGUAUACCCAAUUUGCAUGUAAGUGUAAGAGCAAAUACUUCUCGGUUUUUGAAGACAAGAUAAUGAGUCCGGGUGAGGUGACAUGUUUUCCUGUGUUCUUUUACCACAUUGAAAUAAAUACAGAUUUUGUUACUUUCCAACUUGCAAAAAUGACUAAUUCGUCAAUUCUUAUGAUGCUCAUUUCUGUUGAUGUUGCCAUUGAGUACUUUAUUAUACUAAAAUACAGAAAUCAAAAUAUAUUGAUAAUUGUAUGAAACAUCAUUUUAGAAAUAUGAUAUAUUACCAUAAUGAAUACAUGAUUUUACUGCCAGUAUUAAAGCUGCUACUAAUAUUAUAUUUGAGAGCAACCUAUUCAAAAUUUAUCUCAUCAUAAUAUAAGAAAAUGGCAAACACAUCGCCAAAGAAAUCAGAGUGAAACUACAUAUCAUAUAAAUUUAAGUUAUUUUUCUUUUUUGUGUCAUUUGUAGGUGGCAGACAAUUUACAUCUGCAAUGCGUGACAAGGCAUCCGAGCUUGGAUCGUUUGUCUUUGAUAGUCAUGUGUGGUGUGCCUUUUUAUCGUCUGGUGCGGGAUGGUUCGGCUUGAGAAAAUUUGUAUUAAAACUGUAAUCAA